GUGCUUGCUUCGGCAGCACAUACGGUAAAAACUGGAAGGAUACAGAGAAGUUUAGCAUGGCCCCUGUGCAAGGAUGGCACGCAAAUUCAUGAAGUGUUCCAUAUUUUU